rnacentral:rRNA from 1 species
GAUGAACGCUGGCGGCGUGCCUAAUACAUGCAAGUCGAGCGAACAGACGAGGAGCUUGCUCCUCUGACGUUAGCGGCGGACGGGUGAGUAACACGUGGAUAACCUACCUAUUAGACUGGGAUAACUUCGGGAAACCGGAGCUAAUACCGUAUAAUAUAUUGAACCGCAUGGUUCAAUAGUGAAAGACGGUUUUGCUGUCACUUAUAGAUGGAUCCGCGCCGCAUUAGCUAGUUGGUAAGGUAACGGCUUACCAAGGCAACGAUGCGUAGCCGACCUGAGAGGGUGAUCGGCCACACUGGAACUGCGACACGGUCCAGACUCCUACGGGAGGCAGCAGUAGGGAAUCUUCCGCAAUGGGCGAAAGCCUGACGGAGCAACGCCGCGUGAGUGACGAAGGUCUUCGGAUCGUAAAACUCUGUUAUUAGGGAAGAACAAAUGUGUAAGUAACUAUGCACGUCUUGACGGUACCUAAUCAGAAAGCCACGGCUAACUCCGUG